AUCUCUAAUUCCCUAACUGCGCAUGACGUGGCGCAAGCGCAAUAGGCAUAUACGCACGCUCCAAAAGGUAUAAAUAAGGGUGACUUGGCACACUCGGUCUUUUCGGAGAAGAUUGUUCUUGGGUGUCUGUGGUGUUUGCCUUCAGUCAAAAUUCCAAAUACCUUGAUUUGGGGGUUCAGUCAGGAUUCCAAAUACCUUGAUUUGGGCCUUCAGUCAAGAUUCCAAUUAACUUGAUUAGGAUUCUACAAGGUCUGUCUGGAAAAAGUCCCGUCGUUGUUAAUAUAACAAGAACUGAUUAUUACCUGGCAGCCAGGGAGAGUGGAUUGGAAUGCACAUGUGUGAACAAUGAAGACUUCACUGUACUAGUCCAUGGGCAGUAGACACUGUUGAGUGAGUGUCUGUGUUCUGUGGCCAUCAUAUUCAAAAUGACUGAGCGAGUAGAGCAACGAAUCUGCAUCAAAUUUUGUGUUAAGCUUGAACAUUCCUCAGCGGAAACUAUUCGAAUGAUUCAGAAGGCUUUUGGGGAUGAUGCAAUGAGUGCAGCACAGAUAAAAGUGUGGCACAAACGCUUCAAAGAUGGUCGAGAAUCUGUUGAAAGUGAUCCGCGUUCUGGAAGGCCUGCAACGAGCAGAACGCCUGAGAAUGUUGAACGUGUGCGGGCUGCAAUCAGCAAAGACCUACAUCUGACAGUGCGAGAACUAGGAGCUGAUCUGGGAAUUCCCAAAACUACCGUGUCUGAGAUUUUGACACGUGAUCUUCGCAUGAAACGUCUUGUGGCAUAAUUCAUUCCAUGGCCUCCACUACCAGAGCAGAAGGAACGUAGUGCUGCGGUUGCAAACGACUCGACUCAAACCACUACCAACGUACCAGAUUUCUUCUGGAAGUCAUGACCAGAGAUGAAUUGUGGGUCUAGGUCUCUGAUCUGGAAACAAAGGCCAGAUCUUUCAGUGGAAGGUGUUGGCCAUCACAAGUUGCUCUUCCAGGGCAAAGGGUAAGGAGUACUAUCUUAGUGUUUUUUGUUGAGAGAAGCAAUAAUGAUGAAAACAGCCACAGCUCUGGGCAACUGGUGGUUGGCAGCUUCUUUGUGAUGAUGUGCCUGCUCUCAGAGGGUUGAGUCGAUGUUUUUUGGUGAAACAUCGACUCAGCCCUUCUACAGCCCGCAUUUGGGACCCUGUGACUUUUGGCUUUUCUCAAAACUGAAAUCACCUUCGAAAGGGAAGAAAUUUCAGGCCAUUGAUGAGAUUCAGGAAAAUAAUGAUGGGGCAGCUAAUGGCAAUUCCAACAAUGGAUUUUGCAGAGUGUUUUGAACAGUGGAAGAGAUGCUGGAUUAACUGAGGUCCUAAGGGUUCUACUUUGAAGGGGACUGAGCAUCAUUGUCCUAUGUACAGAAUUUCUUGUGUCUUCACCCCCCAAAAAAGUCUCCAUUUUUCCCGUAGUGAAUGGCUGGAUACUUUCUGGACAGACCUCAUAAAUAUGCGUCUAAUAUUUUUUUCUGUUUUCAUUCAGGAGAGAAGAGGAGCCUCACCUUAAUUUUUGGCAGCUGGCAAUGCUUUUUGAGUCCUUUAUUUGAGGGGGAAAGUUUGUAAAGUGGUGUUAUUUUUGGAAGAUUAAUGCCCUUUGGCGUAAAGGGGAAAGAGGAGGACAGAGCUGCAAAUUCUCGGGCAUGGCUUCAGAUCUAUAUUAACUAACAGACCGAUAGAACGUUCCAGUGGCCAGGUGGCCCAUUUAAGUUUAUAAGGAAUUGCAGGAUGCACUUUAAUGUGAGAAGGUUUAUUAAAACAGUAUGGUCCAUGGGCCUAGACACCUCAGAAUUUUUCAGAAUACCUGAGGUAAAAAAUGGAAAACAGAUGAUACUUGGCCUUUUUAAAUCCUUCAAGUUGGUUUUCUAACUGCACUGCUGAACAGAAAGCAGGAGCCCAUGGGAACCUAGGUGUCUUAAUUAAAGAUCCAUUUUUAAUGUACUUACAAAUUACAAUAAAGGUGACUAUACAUUAUGCA